GGGAGCCGGAGACAGGUGCUGCAUGGCUGUCGUCAGCUCGUGUCGUGAGAUGUUGGGUUAAGUCCCGCAACGAGCGCAACCCUCGCCUUUAGUUGCCAGCAUUUAGUUGGGCACUCUAAAGGGACUGCCGGUGUUAAACCGGAGGAAGGUGGGGAUGACGUCAAGUCCUCAUGGCCUUUAUGCCUAGGGCUACACACGUGCUACAAUGGGCGGUACAAAGGGUUGCAAUCCCGCGAGGGGGAGCCAAUCCCAAAAAGCCGUUCUCAGUUCGGAUUGGAGUCUGCAACUCGACUCCAUGAAGUUGGAAUCGCUAGUAAUCGUGGAUCAGCAUGCCACGGUGAAUACGUUCCCGGGCCUU
rnacentral:rRNA from 1 species